UGUCCUACACGAGAGGAUGAUCCAAGCAGCCCAUGAGAAUCCUGCCCCGGGAUGCCCAUCGUGAGCAGAGGGAGAAGUAAUUAGGGAACCUGGUUCUGAGUGUGAAAAAGGACUCAAAGCAGCAUACACGGGUACCGCGGGAAUGAAGCACCGUUGCCAUGGUAACGGGAGCACGCAGCAGGCAAGCAGCAGGCAAGAAGGAGCAAGCCUGACUAUGACAGAUGCAGCUGUUGGCGCCUUCACGCUAUGGGUGGGGCCUUGCGACUUAAAGUGACCAAUGCAAUGGAGGCAAAAGAACCGAGAGGCUCUUCCAUGCGGAAAUACGCAACUGUUGACCCUACUCUUCCGUCAUCGCGCAAGUUUCCUAGACAUAAAAAGAAGAUGUUGGAUAAUGAUACUCAAGAUUGAACAUCAUGCGAAAAAUCACAGAGACAGCUGACCUGAGCUUUUGGGAGCUAAUGGACAAUGGACUGACAUCUGUGGAACCUGCAUGGGAUUGAACUGGGUAAAUGUGGAUGACAGUUAUGUGGUUUGAUCUGUUAUGGGGACCUAUAAGUGGCACCAAGACCUAUCCCAUGGGCAUGAACUUGCUUUUUGAAGCCCAUUCCUUAUGGUGGGAUACCUUGUUCAGUCUUGAUAUAUGGAUGAAGGGCUUGGUCCUGCCUCAACUUGAUAUGCCAAAC